rnacentral:rRNA from 1 species
CAGUAGCCACGGUAAUACGAAGGGGGCUAGCGUUGUUCGGAAUUACUGGGCGUAAAGCGCGUGUAGGCGGGCUUUUAAGUCAGGGGUGAAAUGCCAAGGCUCAACCUUGGAACUGCCUUUGAUACUGGAAGUCUUGAGUCCGGGAGAGGUGAGUGGAACUGCGAGUGUAGAGGUGAAAUUCGUAGAUAUUCGCAAGAACACCAGUGGCGAAGGCGGCUCACUGGCCCGGAACUGACGCUGAGACGCGAAAACGUGGGGAGCAAACAGGAUUAGAUACCCCGGUAGUCCCUGUCUCUUAUAC